GACGAACGCUGGCGGCGUGCCUAAUACAUGCAAGUAGAACGCUGACUUCGGAGCUUGCUUCUCUGGAUUAGUUGCGAACGGGUGAGUAACGCUUAGGUAACCUGCCUGGUAGCGGGGGAUAACUAUUUGAAACGAUAUCUAAUACCGCAUAAGAUUAGAUGUUUCAUGACAUUUGCUUAAAAGGUUCAAUUGCAUCACUACCAGAUGGACCUCCGUUGUAUUAGCUAGUUGGGGGGGUAGCGGCUUACCAAGGCGACGAUACCUAACCGACCUGAGAGGGUGAGAGGCAAAACUGGGACGGAGACACGGCCAAGACUACUGCGGGAGGCAGAAGUAGGGAAUCUUCGGGAAUGGAAGGAAGUGUGAACGAGGAACGACGCGUGAGUGAAGAAGGUUGUAGGAUCGUAAAGCUCAGUUGUAAGAGAAGAACGAGGAGGAGAGUGGAAAGUGCACACUGUGACGGUAUCGGACCAGAAAGGGACGGCUAACUACGUG
rnacentral:rRNA from 1 species